AUUGAACGCUGGCGGCAGGCCUAACACAUGCAAGUCGAGCGGAGCGGCGGACGGGUGAGUAAUGCCUAGGAAUCUGCCUGGUAGUGGGGGAUAACGUCCGGAAACGGGCGCUAAUACCGCAUACUAUCAGAUGAGCCUAGGUCGGAUUAGCUAGUUGGUGGGGUAAGGGCCUACCAAGGCGACGAUCCGUAACUGGUCUGAGAGGAUGAUCAGUCACACUGGAAAUGAGACACGGGUCAGACUCCGACGGGAGGCAGCAAGGGGGAAUCUUCCGCAAUGGACGAAAGUCUGACGGAGCAACGCCGCGGGAUGGAUGACGGCCUUCGGGUUGUAAAGCUCUGUUAAUCGGGAAGCGUUACCCGCAGAAGAAGCACCGGCUAACUCCGUGCCAGCCGCCGCGGUAAUAC
rnacentral:rRNA from 1 species